CAGUAGCCACGGGAAUACAGAGGGUGCGAGCGUUAAUCGGAUUUACUGGGCGUAAAGCGUGCGUAGGCGGCUUCUUAAGUCGGAUGUUAAAUCCCUGAGCUUAACUUAGGAAUUGCAUUCGAUACUGGGAAGCUAGAGUAUGGGAGAGGAUGGUAGAAUUCCAGGUGUAGCGGUGAAAUGCGUAGAGAUCUGGAGGAAUACCGAUGGCGAAGGCAGCCAUCUGGCCUAAUACUGACGCUGAGGUACGAAAGCAUGGGGAGCAAACAGGAUUAGAUACCCCUGUAGUCCCUGUCUCUUAUAC
rnacentral:rRNA from 1 species